AAACCCGGUGAUCUAGCCAUGGGCAGGUUGAAGGUUGGGUAACACUAACUGGAGGACCGAACCGACUAAUGUUGAAAAAUUAGCGGAUGACCUGUAGCUGGGGGUGAAAGGCCAAUCAAACCGGGAGAUAGCUGGUUCUCCCCGAAAGCUAUUUAGGUAGCGCCUCGUGAAUUCAUCUCCGGGGGUAGAGCACUGUUUCGGCUAGGGGGCCAUCCCGGCUUACCAACCCGAUGCAAACUGCGAAUACCGGAGAAUGUUAUCACGGGAGACACACGGCGGGUGCUAACGUCCGUCGUGAAGAGGGAAACAACCCAGACCGCCAGCUAAGGUCCCAAAGUCAUGGUUAAGUGGGAAACGAUGUGGGAAGGCCCAGACAGCCAGGAUGUUGGCUUAGAAGCAGCCAUCAUUUAAAGAAAGCGUAAUAGCUCACUGGUCGAGUCGGCCUGCGCGGAAGAUGUAACGGGGCUAAACCAU
rnacentral:rRNA from 1 species